AUUUUUUCUUCCCUAGUUGCUACCUUUGAUCAUCCAAUUGUUACUUAAACCUUAACACUAUGUUUGGUUCAAUGGAAUGGCUAUUCCAAAUGACACGGUUCAAAACUCCACGAUAAAACAGUCGUUUGGUUUGUUGAAUGCUCAAAACAUCGAAUGGGGAUUUCAGGUGGGAGGAGGUGUAGAAUGGCUAUUCCAACCUCUCCAUCGAAUGACCCUUCUUUUCCCCUCCGAAAAUACCCUUUCUUAGACUGAAAUUUCUCAACAGUUUCAACUUUUUUUUUCUUUUGGUCAUUCGACAAUCUCAAGCUCAAAUCAAUCUAAAAGGAAGCAAAUCAACUUGAAUGCCAAAUCAACUAGAUUUUAUUGAGAAGGAAAAGGGAGGAGGGUUAAGGAGCUGCUAAAACGAUGCCCAAAUCUUAAGAAAAUUAUUAUUUUUAAGGUUAUUUCAAAAGCCAACCUACACAAGGAAUGCCAGGGAAGUGUAUGCAGUAUCCAUCGUUGGUCCUUUUCCUAUUGUUGUAACUAAUUUAUUGGAUUUAACAAAUGGGUAGCUUGGGAGUUUCCAUUGAUUGCAACUGCAAAAAGAGGAGCCAAUGGUUGCAUGUUAUUCAAGUAUAUUCAAUCUAUUGGUAUUCUUGCUUUGUAUUUUCCAGCUUCUAAAAUACAUUCAGUCAUUGAUGCAGGGAAGCUUUAUAUGUUCAAUAAUUUUCCAUUAAUAUAUAUUAUAUUAAAAUAGCCUUGUAUUAUCAUAUUUGAUUUUAUAGAAUACUCUCGGUCAGUAUUUUAAAGGAACCUUAAUGCUAUUCUUUGUGAAUAGAUACUUUCAAUCAAUGUUCUUUGUAAAGUUUGGCACAUGUAAAAAUGAAGUUGCAUGAGAUUUUGUGAUUACAAAUAUUAAA